CUCCUUUUGUAGCAGCUGUUGCUGACACAUUACGCCAUACUCAACUUAUUCUGUAACAUUUCAGUCCUUCAGUAUAGCGAAAAAUUUAUAAGAAAUAGUAAAGGCAAAUGUUUUGCAUUAAAAUUUUCUUUGACUUAUGUAGAACUAGGAUUCUGAGUUAAUUGGUCAAACUCAAGUUAAAAGGAACUGGUGAUGCUCCAAAAAUAUUGCUUGUUUCCAAUCUGAAUCACGUUACAAAUCUAAUUAUCAAAUAUUCAAUUAAAUGUAUUAAAAAGAUUUAGUCUCGUUCAUACAGAUGUUCUUCAUAAUGGUCAUAUUGUCUAUUAAUGGUGAACUAAAAUAAAAAAAUUUAAAUAUC